rnacentral:rRNA from 1 species
AUUGAACGCUGGCGGCGUGCCUAACACAUGCAAGUCGAGCGGUAACAGGUGUAGCAAUACAUGCUGACGAGCGGCGGACGGGUGAGUAACGCUUGGGAAUCUGCCUGUUAGUGGGGGACAACCCGGGGAAACUCGGGCUAAUACCGCAUACGCACUACGGUGGAAAGCCGGGGACCGCAAGGCCUGGCGCUAACAGAUGAGCCCAAGUCGGAUUAGCUAGUUGGAGGGUAACGGCCUACCAAGGCGACGAUCCGUAACUGGUCUGAGAGGACGACCAGUCACACCGGAACUGAGACACGGUCCGGACUCCUACGGGAGGCAGCAGUGGGGAAUAUUGGACAAUGGGCGAAAGCCUGAUCCAGCGACGCCGCGUGGGUGAAGAAGGCCUGCGGGUUGUAAGCCCUUCAGUGGGGAAGAAAGCCUCGAGUUAAUACCUCGGGUCUUGACGUACCAUAGAAGAAGCACCGGCUAACUCUGUGCCAGCAGCCGCCGUAAU